UCUCCGUUGGUGAACCAGCGGAGGGAUCAUUACCGAGUUUACGACUCCCAAACCCCUGUGAACAUACCAUUUGUUGCCUCGGCGGUGCCUGCUUCGGCAGCCCGCCAGAGGACCCAAACCCUUGAUUUUAUACAGUAUCUUCUGAGUAAAUGAUUAAAUAAAUCAAAACUUUCAACAACGGAUCUCUUGGUUCUG
rnacentral:misc_RNA from 1 species